GACCUUACAUUGGACACGUCAUUGCGGUACUUUCUUCUCAUGUGGAGUAUUACAGGCAAGCGGUAAACUAGUCGUGCAUGUAGGCCACAUGCCUAUUUUAGGCGUAUUGCGUGAAGUGCUGCUGCAGUGGUCGCAGCCCAGCGGACCUCCUCACAGAUGUGAGCACCGUUGCUUGCUUUACCGCUGAGUUCCUUUUCUGCGCGUAAAAAUACCACAACGGGGCGGCCAAGACGAGGGGAAAGGAUCUUGGCAUGAGAUUGGAAGAAAGGAAGGGAGGUGGACUGUCCCUCCGGCCUGGAGCUCCAGGGUGCACUGCGUCAGGUCCACAAGCUGCUCACGGCCCACGAGACAUCGUACAUCCAAAGCCUCCGCAACCUGAGGAAGAAACUGAACUUGUUGAAGAACAACACAACCAAAGUCAGCAUCAAGAGAGGCAGCAAUAGCACUGCCACAUGCCCUCUCCCAGAAUCACUGGAGAACGGCCGGAGAUUGGGCGGAGUCCUCGCUGUGGGUCACGAGGUGCACUUCCUGUGCAGUGCUGGACAUGAGCUGCUUGGCUCGGAGACCAGGGUGUGCCAAGAAUCUCUCAGGUGGAGUGGGCAGCAGCCCUAUUGCAAGGGUAAGGAACACGCCAGUGACAAUAAUAACCCUUCUAUUACAUUCUUAUAAACACAGUAUAAAAACAAGUAUAAAUAAAUAAAAAAGGCGGUGGAACAGGCUUUCUAGUCUCUCAUGAUAAUCUGCAUCUCCAGUGGAUAAUGGUCUAUUACUAAUCCUUGG